rnacentral:rRNA from 1 species
GCUAACCCUAGCCCAACCCCCCCCCCCCCCAUUUAUAAUACCUAGUUACACCAAAUAAAUCAUUUACCAAUCACAAAAGUAUAGGUGAUAGAAAUUGUACUCCAGGCGCAAUAGACACAGUACCGCAAGGGAAAGAUAAAAACCUAAAAGCACAGAAAAGCAAAGACAAAUCCUUCUACCUUCUGCAUAAUGAACUAACUAGAAAUAGCCUUAUAAAGAGAACUUAAAUAAUGUCCCCCGAAACCAAGCGAGCUACCCAAGGACAGCUAAAGAGCACACCCGUCUAUGUGGCAAAAUAGUGGGAAGAUCUUUGGGUAGAGGCGACAAACCUACCGAGCUUGGUGAUAGCUGGUUGUCCAAGACAGAAUCUUAGUUCAGCUUUAAAAUUACCCCCAGAAUCACACAAUCCUUAUGUAAUUUUGACUGUUAGUCUAAAGAGGGACAGCUCUUCAGACCAUAGGAAACAACCUUUUAUAGAGAGUAAACCAUAUAACUACCAUAGUUGGCCUAAAAGCAGCCACCAAUUAAGAAAGCGUUUAAGCUCAAUACACCCUUACUACUAAUUCUACUAACUAUACUGAACUCCUUAAACAAAUUGGACUAAUCUAUUGUUUAAUAGAAGCAAUAAUGUUAAUAUAAGUAACAUGAAAUUAUUCUCCCCGCAUAAGCUUAUUACAGACCGAAACAACUACUGCUAGUUAACAGUACAAUUAAAACACACUAUGACUUAACUUAUUAAUUUACUAAACUGUUGAUCCAACACAGGUAUGCGUUCAGGAAAGAUUAAAAAAAGUAAAAGGAACUCGGCAAACUCUACCCCCGCCUGUUUACCAAAAACAUCACCUCUAGCAUCUCCAGUAUUAGAGGCACUGCCUGCCCAGUGACAUAUGUUCAACGGCCGCGGUACCCUGACCGUGCAAAGGUAGCAUAAUCACUUGUUCUCUAAAUAGGGACUUGUAUGAACGGCCACACGAGGGUUUAACUGUCUCUUACUUUCAAUCAGUGAAAUUGACCUAUCCGUGAAGAGGCGGAUAUGCCAAAAUAAGACGAGAAGACCCUAUGGAGCUUCAAUUCAAUAGUACAAACUAAUAGCCUAAAAACCUACCAGGCAACAACCUACCGUCAGUGUACUAUAAAUUUUGGUUGGGGUGACCUCGGAGUAUAACACAACCUCCGAAAAGCAUAUACUAAGACCUUACUAGUCUAAGUAAACAUACAACUAUUGACCCAAUAACUUGAUCAACGGACUAAGUUACCCUAGGGAUAACAGCGCAAUCCUAUUUUAGAGUCCAUAUCGACAAUAGGGUUUACGACCUCGAUGUUGGAUCAAGACAUCCUAAUGGUGCAGAAGCUAUUAAGGGUUCGUUUGUUCAACGAUUAAAGUCUUACGUGAUCUGAGUUCAGACCGGAGCAAUCCAGGUCGGUUUCUAUCUAUUAAAUAUUCCUCCCAGUACGAAAGGACAAGAGAAAUAGGGCCUACUUCGCAAAGCGCCCUCAAAAAUUAGAUGACUAACAUCUUAAUCUUACAUACUACUACUUCACCCAAGAACAGGGCUU